AGCGAACGCUAGCGGCGAGCUUAACACAUGCAAGUCGAGCGGAGGGUUUCGGCCCUCAGCGGCGGACGGGUGAGUAACACGUAGGUUACGUGCCCUUUGGUGGGGAAUAACUUAGGGAAACCUGAGCUAAUACCGCAUAUGCCCUUCGGGUGGAAGUCUUCGGACGCCAGAGGAUCGGCCUGCGGCCCAUUAUUUAAUCCUUGUUGGUGGGGUAACGGCCUACCAAGGUACGAUGGGUAGCUGGUCUGAGAGGAUGAUCAGCCACACUGGGACUGAGACACGGCCCAGACUCCUACGGGAGGCAGCAGUGGGGAA
rnacentral:rRNA from 1 species